GAUGAACGCUGGCGGCGUGCUUAACACAUGCAAGUCGAACGAACCUUCGGGUUAGUGGCGGACGGGUGAGUAACGCGUGGGAAUCUGCCCUCAGGAGGGGGAUAACGGCUGGAAACGGCCGCUAAUACCCCAUAUGCCGAGAGGUGAAAUGAAUUUCGCCUGAGGAUGAGCCCGCGUCUGAUUAGCUAGUUGGUGAGGUAAGAGCUCACCAAGGCAUCGAUCAGUAGCUGGUCUGAGAGGAUGAUCAGCCACACUGGGACUGAGACACGGCCCAGACUCCUACGGGAGGCAGCAGUGGGGAAUUUUCCGCAAUGGGCGAAAGCCUGACGGAGCAACGCCGCGUGAGGGAUGAAGGCCUCUGGGCUGUAAACCUCUUUUCUCAAGGAAGAAGAUCUGACGGUACUUGAGGAAUAAGCCACGGCUAAUUCCGUGCCAGCAGCCGCGGUAAUACGGGAGUGGCAAGCGUUAUCCGGAAUUAUUGGGCGUAAAGCGUCCGCAGGCGGCCCUUCAAGUCUGCUGUUAAAACGUGGAGCUUAACUCCAUCAUGGCAGUGGAAACUGUUGGGCUUGAGUGUGGUAGGGGCAGAGGGAAUUCCCGGUGUAGCGGUGAAAUGCGUAGAUAUCGGGAAGAACACCAGUGGCGAAGGCGCUCUGCUGGGCCAUAACUGACGCUCAUGGACGAAAGCCAGGGGAGCGAAAGGGAUUAGAUACCCCUGUAGUCCUGGCCGUAAACGAUGAACACUAGGUGUCGGGGGAAUCGACCCCCUCGGUGUCGUAGCCAACGCGUUAAGUGUUCCGCCUGGGGAGUACGCACGCAAGUGUGAAACUCAAAGGAAUUGACGGGGGCCCGCACAAGCGGUGGAGUAUGUGGUUUAAUUCGAUGCAACGCGAAGAACCUUACCAGGGUUUGACAUCCUGCGAACCUCUUGGAAACGAGAGGGUGCCUUCGGGAACGCAGUGACAGGUGGUGCAUGGCUGUCGUCAGCUCGUGUCGUGAGAUGUUGGGUUAAGUCCCGCAACGAGCGCAACCCACGUCUUUAGUUGCCAGCAUUUAGUUGGGCACUCUAGAGAGACCGCCGGUGAUAAACCGGAGGAAGGUGUGGAUGACGUCAAGUCAUCAUGCCCCUUACAUCCUGGGCUACACACGUACUACAAUGCUACGGACAAAGAGCAGCAAGUUCGCGAGGACAAGCAAAUCUCAUAAACCGUGGCUCAGUUCAGAUCGUAGGCUGCAACUCGCCUACGUGAAGGAGGAAUCGCUAGUAAUCGCAGGUCAGCAUACUGCGGUGAAUACGUUCCCGGGCCUUGUACACACCGCCCGUCACACCAUGGAAGUUGGCCACGCCCGAAGCCGUUACUCCAACCCUUGUGGAGGAGGACGUCGAAGGUGGGGCUGAUGACUGGGGUG
rnacentral:rRNA from 1 species